rnacentral:ncRNA from 1 species
GUAAAUGCGUUUGAGAAAAAAGUAGUAGGCUAUUGGCUUGUUCAGAGACGUCGCGGCUGGUGAGAGUGACGGAAGCUGACAGUGCGAAUUCAUUUUUCGAGCAGAAAAUGGGAGUUAAGCAUCACAAAAAUUUUCCGGUGAUCACCGUUAAUGAUUCUUAAGUGUGUCAUUUUUUAUAAAAUGAUAAAUUAGGGUGGUACCGCGAAGCUUCGUCCCUGGG